UGGGGAAUAUUGCACAAUGGGGGAAACCCUGAUGCAGCGACGCCGCGUGGAGGAAGAAGGUCUUCGGAUUGUAAACUCCUGUUGUUGAGGAAGAUAAUGACGGUACUCAACAAGGAAGUGACGGCUAACUACGUGCCAGCAGCCGCGGUAAAACGUAGGUCACAAGCGUUGUCCGGAAUUACUGGGUGUAAAGGGAGCGCAGGCGGGAGAACAAGUUGGAAGUGAAAUCCAUGGGCUCAACCCAUGAACUGCUUUCAAAACUGUUUUUCUUGAGUAGUGCAGAGGUAGGCGGAAUUCCCGGUGUAGCGGUGGAAUGCGUAGAUAUCGGGAGGAACACCAGUGGCGAAGGCGGCCUACUGGGCACCAACUGACGCUGAGGCUCGAAAGUGUGGGUAGCAAACAGGAUUAGAUACCCCCGU
rnacentral:rRNA from 1 species